UACGUAGGGGGCGAGCGUUGUCCGGAGUUACUGGGCGUAAAGGGCAUGCAGGCGGUCCGACACGUUUUGUGUGACAGCGGGUGGCUUAACUACCCGAGGAUACGAAAGACGGUAGGACUUGAGGACUCGAGAGGGACACGGAAUUCCGGGUGGAGUGGUGAAAUGCGCAGAUAUCAGGAGGAACACCCGUAGCGAAGGCGGCACUCUGGGGCCGAUUCUGACACUGAGGAGCGAAAGCGUGGGGAGCGAACAGG
rnacentral:rRNA from 1 species